rnacentral:rRNA from 1 species
CUACGGGCGGCUCCAGUUUCGAAUCAUUCACAAUGGGCGAAAGCCUGAUGGUGCAACGCCGCGUGGGGGAUGAAGGUCUUCGGAUUGUAAACCCCUGUCAUUAAGGACUAAAAACCGGGCUUAUACCCCGGCUUGAAUUAACUUAAAGAGGAAGCAGUGGCUAACUCCGUGCCAGCAGCCGCGGUAAUACGGAGACUGCAAGCGGUACUCGGAUUCACUGGGCGUAAAGGGUGCGAAGGUGGUUAGAUAUGUCAGGUGUGAAAUCCCGGGGCUUAACUCCGGAACUGCGCCUGAAACUAUUUGACUAGAGUAUUGGAGAGGUAAGCGGAAUUCCAGGUGUAGCGGUGAAAUGCGUAGAUAUCUGGAGGAACACCAAAGGCGAAGGCAGCUUACUGGACAAUUACUGACACUAAAGCACGAAAGCGUGGGGAGCAAAAGGGAUUAGAUACCCUAGUAGUC